rnacentral:rRNA from 1 species
ACACAUUGGCAACGUCAGAGCGGAUGAAGGGAGCUUGCUCCUGGAUUCAGCGGCGGACGGGUGAGUAAUGCCUAGGAAUCUGCCUGGUAGUGGGGGAUAACGUCCGGAAACGGGCGCUAAUACCGCAUACGUCCUGAGGGAGAAAGUGGGGGAUCUUCGGACCUCACGCUAUCAGAUGAGCCUAGGUCGGAUUAGCUAGUUGGUGGGGUAAAGGCCUACCAAGGCGACGAUCCGUAACUGGUCUGAGAGGAUGAUCAGUCACACUGGAACUGAGACACGGUCCAGACUCCUACGGGAGGCAGCAGUGGGGAAUAUUGGACAAUGGGCGAAAGCCUGAUCCAGCCAUGCCGCGUGUGUGAAGAAGGUCUUCGGAUUGUAAAGCACUUUAAGUUGGGAGGAAGGGCAGUAAGUUAAUACCUUGCUGUUUUGACGUUACCAACAGAAUAAGCACCGGCUAACUUCGUGCCAGCAGCCGCGGUAAUACGAAGGGUGCAAGCGUUAAUCGGAAUUACUGGGCGUAAAGCGCGCGUAGGUGGUUCAGCAAGUUGGAUGUGAAAUCCCCGGGCUCAACCUGGGAACUGCAUCCAAAACUACUGAGCUAGAGUACGGUAGAGGGUGGGUGGAAUUUCCUGUGUAGCGGUGAAAUGCGUAGAUAUAGGAAGGAACACCAGUGGCGAAGGCGACCACCUGGACUGAUACUGACACUGAGGUGCGAAAGCGUGGGGAGCAAACAGGAUUAGAUACCCUGGUAGUCCACGCCGUAAACGAUGUCGACUAGCCGUUGGGAUCCUUGAGAUCUUAGUGGCGCAGCUAACGCGAUAAGUCGACCGCCUGGGGGAGUACGGCCGCAAGGUUAAAACUCAAAUGAAUUGACGGGGGCCCCCACAAGCGGUGGAACAUGGGGGUUUAAUUCGAAGCAACGCCGAGAACCUUACCUGGCCUUGACAUGCUGAGAACUUUCCAGAAAAUGGAUUGGUGCCUUCGGGAACUCAGACACAGGUGCUGCAUGGCUGUCGUCAGCUCGUGUCGUGGAAAUGUUUGGGGUUAAGUCCCCGUAACGAGCGCAACCCUUUGUCCUUAGUUACCAGCCACCUCCGGGUGGGCACCCUUAAGGAGACUGCCGGUGACAACCCGAAGAAAGGGGGGGGGAUUAACUUCAAAUCUUCAUGGGCGCUUACCGGCCAGGGGUACACCCUGGGUACAAUGGGUCGGGUACAAAAAGUUUGCUAAACCCCCCCGAGUGGAGCUAAUCCCCUUAAAACCAAUCUAAUUUCCCCGAACCAAAUUUGGCACUCCACCCUCUGGGAAUCGGAAACCCCUUUAAUCUGGGAUCAAAAUUGCCCCGUGAAAAAUUUUCCCGGCCUUUGUCACCCCGCCCCACACCCACGGGGAGAGGGUGUGUCCAAAUAUACUUUUUACCCCCAAGGGGAGUGCCCAAAGGUUUUUACUGGAGAUCAGGGGGGGGGGGGAAAAGCCUGCGCCCCGCCCCCAUCAGACGGUUAAACUCAAACCCCCCUUGUGGCCCCCCCCGGGGGGGGG